rnacentral:rRNA from 1 species
CUCGGCUGGAUCGGUAGACAGGUGCUGCAUGGCUGUCGUCAGCUCGUGUCGUGAGAUGUUCGGUUAAGUCCGGCAACGAGCGCAACCCACAUCUUUAGUUGCCAGCAGUUCGGCUGGGCACUCUAAAGAAACUGCCCGUGAUAAGCGGGAGGAAGGUGUGGAUGACGUCAAGUCCUCAUGGCCCUUACGGGUUGGGCUACACACGUGCUACAAUGGUAGUGACAGUGAGUUAAUCUCCAAAAGCUAUCUCAGUUCGGAUUGGGGUCUGCAACUCGACCCCAUGAAGUCGGAAUCGCUAGUAAUCGCGUAACAGCAUGACGCGGUGAAUACGUUCCCGGGCCUUGUACACACCGCCCGUCACACCAUGGGAGUUGGUUCUACCUGACGGCCGUGCGCUAACCUUCGGGAGGCAGCGGACCACGGUAGGAUCAGCGACUGGGGUGAAGUCGUAACAAGGUAGCCGUAAAGGGCGA